UACGAUGGAGGGCUAGCGUUGCUCGGAAUCACUGGGCGUAAAGGGUGCGUAGGCGGAUUGUUAAGUCGGGGGUGAAAUCCUGGAGCUCAACUCCAGAACUGCCUUCGAUACUGGCGAUCUCGAGUUCGGGAGAGGUGAGUGGAACUGCGAGUGUAGAGGUGAAAUUCGUAGAUAUUCGCAAGAACACCAGUGGCGAAGGCGGCUCACUGGCCCGAUACUGACGCUGAGGUGCGAAAGCGUGGGGAGCAAACAGG
rnacentral:rRNA from 1 species